GGUUUGAUUUGGCCAACUGUAACUUAAAUGAUGAGCAUGUCAACAAAAUGAACUCAGAGAGAGAGAGUUCCAGAUGUGGUAUUAAUCAAGAAAAGCUAUGACCGUACCAAACGUCAGCGUCGUAGAAACUGGAAACUGAAAGAACUUGCAAGAGAUAGAGAAAACAUGGAUACAGAUGAUGAAAGGCAAUACCAAGAUUUCCUUGAAGAUCUUGAAGAAGAUGAGGCAAUUAGAAAAAAUGUCAACAUCUAUAGAGAUUCAACUAUACCUGUGGAGAGUGACACAGAUGAUGAAGGAGCACCUCGAAUUAGUUUGGCUGAGAUGCUUGAAGAUCUUCAUAUUUCCCAAGAUGCCACUGGUGAAGAAGGUGCAUCAAUGAUGACAUAAUGAGAUUAUAUUAUAGACUGUACAUCUGUGGGCUCAGGAAGUUGGAACAAAAUGACCUUUUCUAUGUAUUGCUUCUGUGCUUCCAUAUGGAGAAAUUUAGUUUUAGAUCUGAAUAAAUAUAACUAUUUUGAUUGUUUACUCUAAGCACUAAAAAGGAUUGAUAAUUUUGAAGUUCUAGAUAAUAAAAGAUUCAGAAGGA